UCUUCCUAAAGACUACUGUGUCUUUUUCCUGCCACCCUGGCCACCCUCCUGCCAGCUGACACAAGACCAGCUCUGCUCUUUUCUGCAUCACCCACACCCCGAAGGAGGGCCCUUUUGCACGCUGGGGACUGUCAACACGGUUGCAGACUGCAUAACCAGACAACAUGACAGCCCUGUGGCCUCGCGCCCUGGCCUGGGAGCGAGGAGGAGGUAUCCACUUCCAGAGCAACAAGUGCCCCACAAGUGCCUCUGCUGACACCACCCUCCUGCAGGCCCACGACCUCUAGUGACCAGGACGGAGCUGCCACCAUGACUUCCGCCGUGUGACGGGGCAAAGCCCCUGGCCCUGUUAGCCCCUGGGGAGCUUCUCCAGGCCUACAGCAGCUUAAGCGGCAGGGCCCCUGCUGGACAGUGCUGCCCAGGGUUUGGGUGUUCUGACCCUCUUGCCCUUCGCAGCCCUCAACACAGGGACCAUGGUCAUCCCCCUCGAUGGCUGAGGAAACUGAGGCACAGGGCCGCUGGGGGAUUUGCGUCCAGCCUGCGGGGGUGGGCUCUGCAAACGGGCUGUCUGGCUGCAAAGUCCCUGCUCCUGGGGAAUGAGGAAUGUCCAGGCUUCCUGCACCACCCUGGCAAUGCUACCCAACUACACCUCAAGUUUCCUCCCCACCCCGGGCCUAGGCACUCCGUGCAACCCAAGCUCUCAACCCCCACCAACCAGGUUGCCCUUCGGUCAAGACUGUCUGGCGAGAUUUGGCCAUUUUCCUUGAAAACGCAUGGUUCCUUCAGAGGGGACAACACGUGAUGGUGGCCAGGGAGGUUCAGAGAGGCCAAGAGUAUUUCCUGAGGUCACACAGCAAGCCUGGGCCUGCUCCCGCACCCUGGUCCCCCAAGGAACGGCGUUUCCUCCCAUCCUGGCUGGGAAGGGCUGAGGUUUGGGCAGGAAACCACACUUCCUCCUCAGGGCACCUUGUGGGACGCCCAGACCACGGGGA